rnacentral:rRNA from 1 species
UACGAAGGGGCUAGCGUUGCUCGGAAUCACUGGCGUAAAGGGUGCGUAGGCGGUCUUUAAGUCAGGGUGAAAUCCUGGAGCUCAACUCCAGAACUGCCUUUGAUACUGAAGAUCUUGAGUUCGGGAGAGGUGAGUGGAACUGCGAGUGUAGAGGUGAAAUUCGUAGAUAUUCGCAAGAACACCAGUGGCGAAGGCGGCUCACUGGCCCGAUACUGACGCUGAGGUGCGAAGCGUGGGAG